AUCCAGAGUAGGUCGAGACACGUGGAACCUUGACUGAAUAUGCGGGGACCACCCCGUAAGGCUAAAUACUCCUUAGUGACCGAUAGCGCAUAGUACUGUGAAGGAAAGGUGAAAAGGACCCCGGGAGGGGAGUGAAAAAGAACCUGAAACCAUAUGUUUACAAGCUGUGGAACAUCUUUAUAUGAUGAACCGCGUACUUUUUGUAGAACGGUCCGGCGAGUUACGCUGGCUGGCGAGGUUAAGCACUGAAGGUGCGGAGCCGAAGGGAAACCAAGUCUGAACAGGGCGAAAGUCAGUCGGAGUAGACCCGAAACCGGGUGAUCUAUCCAUGUCCAGGUUGAAGCGGAAGUAAAAUUCCGUGGAGGACCGGAUCCACAUCCGUUGAAAAGGGUGGGAAUGAGGUGUGGAUAGGGGAGAAAUUCCAAUCGAACCCGGAGAUAGCUGGUUCUCCUCGAAAUAGCUUUAGGGCUAGCCUCGUAUUAGUUUAGCGGAGGUAGAGCACUGAAUUCCUAAGGGGGCGUCAAAGCUUACCAAGGGAUAUCAAACUCCGAAUGCCGCAUAAAUGAUGUAUGGGAGUCAGACUAUCCGAGAUAAGUUGGGUAGUCGAAAGGGAAAGAGCCCAGACCUACAGCUAAGGUCCCAAAGUGUGUGUUAAGUGGAAAAGGAUGUGGGAUUUCAGAGACAACCAGGAUGUUGGCUUAGAAGCAGCCACACAUUCAAAGAGUGCGUAAUAGCUCACUAGUCGAGAGGUCCUGCGCCGAAAAUGUCCGGGGCUGAAACACACUGCCGAAGCUCAGGAAUCUGCGAAUGCAGGUUGGUAGAGGAGCAUUCUUAAAGAGACGAAGCUGUACCGAAAGGAGCAGUGGACUUUUAAGAAGAGAGAAUGCCGGAAUGAGUAGCGAGAUGGAGGUGGGAAUCCUCCAGGCCGAAUAUCCAAGGUUUCCAGAGUAAAGCUGAUCUGCUCUGGGUAAGUCGGGGCCUAAGGCGAGGUCGAAAGACGUAGUCGAUGGAUAACAGGUUGAAAUUCCUGUACUAUCCUGUAACAGAACUGUGGGGACGCAGACAGAGAGCACAAGCCGGGAAUGGAAAGACCGGUGCAAGCGAGGUAGGAGUACAUCAGGCAAAUCCGGUGUGCAAUCCGAAGACGUGAUGCGGAUCGAAAAGAAGUAGAGAAGUGUGUGAGCUGGCUGCCAAGAAAAGCCGCUAUUGUUUACAGGAUACCCGUACCGUAAACCGACACAGGUGGAUGAGGAGAGAAUCCUAAGGCCGACGGGAGAAGCAUUGUUAAGGAACUCGGCAAAAUGACUCCGUAACUUCGGGAGAAGGAGUGCCAUGCGAAUGGCCGCAGAGAAUUGGUCCAAGCAACUGUUUAGCAAAAACACAGGUCUAUGCGAAACCGAAAGGUGAGGUAUAUGGGCUGACGCCUGCCCGGUGCUGGAAGGUUAAGGGGAGAGGUUAGCGCAAGCGAAGCUUUGAACUUAAGCCCCAGUAAACGGCGGCCGUAACUAUAACGGUCCUAAGG
rnacentral:rRNA from 1 species